rnacentral:rRNA from 1 species
AGUGGCAGACGGGUGAGUAAUGUAUAGGAAUCUACCUAGUAGUACGGAAUAAUUGUUGGAAACGGCAACUAAUACCGUAUACGCCCUACGGGGGAAAGAUUUAUCGCUAUUAGAUGAGCCUAUAUUAGAUUAGCUAGUUGGUAAGGUAAUGGCUUACCAAGGCAAUGAUCUAUAGCUGAUCUGAGAGGAUGAUCAGCCACACUGGAACUGAGAUACGGUCCAGACUCCUACGGGAGGCAGCAGUGGGGAAUAUUGGACAAUGGGCGAAAGCCUGAUCCAGCUAUGCCGCAUGAGUGAAGAAGGCCUUCGGGUUGUAAAGCUCUUUUAGUGAGGAAGAUAAUGACGGUACUCACAGAAGAAGUCCUGGCUAACUCCGUGCCAGCAGCCGCGGUAAUACGGAGAGGGCUAGCGUUAUUCGGAAUUAUUGGGCGUAAAGGGCGCGUANGCGGAUUAGUAAGUCAAAAGUGAAAUCCCAAAGCUCAACUUUGGAAUUGCUUUUAAAACUGCUAACCUAGAGAUUGAAAGAGGAUAGAGGAAUUCCUAGUGUAGAGGUGAAAUUCGUAAAUAUUANGAGGAACACCAGUGGCGAANGCGUCUAUCUGGUUCAAAUCUGACGCUG